AACGUAGGACGCGAGCGUUAUCCGGAUUUACUGGGCGUAAAGCGCGUGCAGGCGGUGCCCAAAGUCGUGCGUGAAAGCUCCCUGGCUCAACCGGGAGAGGUCGUACGAAACUAGGGUGCUAGAGGGCAGCAGAGGCGUGUGGAAUUCCGGGUGUAGUGGUGAAAUGCGUAGAUAUCCGGAGGAACACCAGAGGCGAAGGCGGCACGCUGGGCUGCACCUGACGCUCAGACGCGAAAGCGUGGGGAGCGAA
rnacentral:rRNA from 1 species